rnacentral:rRNA from 1 species
CCUACGGGUGGCAGCAGUGGAGAAUCAUUCACAAUGGGGGAAACCCUGAUGGGGCGACGCCGCGUGGGGGAAUGAAGGCCUCCGGAUUGUAAACCCCUGUCAUGUGGGAGCAAAUGAAGAAGAUAGUACCACAAGAGGAAGAGACGGCUAACUCGGUGCCAGCAGCCGCGGUAAUACGGAGGGCUCAAGCGUGGUUCGGAAUUACUGGGCGGAAAGUGUGCGUAGGCGGGUGGGUAAGUCGAGUGUGAAAGGCGCGGGCUCAACCCGCGGACGGCACAUGAUACUGCGAGGCUGGAGUAUAGGAGGGGGAACCGGAAUUCUCGGUGUAGCAGUGAAAUGCGUAGAUA